ensembl:lncRNA
CCCCCCCAUUUAAGCACUGACUGCCAUAGGGAGAAGGAUCUUUUUCUGAAGAUUGCUCCUUUUGGAGUUUUUUCUGUGAGCCUAUGACGCAGUGAUCAGUUGAAAUGCAGACCAUACUCAAGUGAGUUUGUUGAAGAUGGAUACAUUUUAAUAUAUUAAUUUCAGGACUUCAGUAAGUUAAAGGAUAAGUUGAGUAUCUGCUGCUUAGGAGUUGCCAUAUAAGUGAAUUCAGGAAACACUAAAAUCAUAAGUGUUUCAAAUGUGAGAUACUGCUUUGAAGAACAGCUUUGAGCUCUGAAGGAAGAGAAAUUCUUCCCCAUUGUUUUCAUCACCAGUUUGUCUAAAUCUUCCAGCAAACAUUACAGUUUGUGCGCUGACUUAAGCAUUGCUCAGUUGCUGGUUGACCAAGGCAUGAAUACUAAGUAUGGCAUUUACAGUCAAGUCUUCUUUCUGACACCAAGUGUGCAUCAUCAAUAGUAACACAGAACUACUUAUCAAGAAAGAUGAUCAUGCUUUUAUAAUUUUGAAUUCUGGCUAGGAGUGAAUCAAUAAAAACGUGCCAUGACUUAAAAGAAAAAAACAGUAUUCAAAUCAGUCUUUUGAUUAGCCAAGAAAUUUGAAUUUCUUAGAAUGUGUAAAGGAU